CUGGUACCUUCGGGUCCAGCAAUCAUCAGGGGAUGUCUGUAAACCCGAAAUGAUUGUCAUACAGAACAGAAUCGCCGUGCAGUACGUUGUGGACGAAGCGGCUAAAACUUACACAACUCGCCCAAAGCACCCUGCCCGUCGGGUCGCUGAGGGUUAACUCAAUAGACACGGCUACGCAUGUAGUACCGACAGCGGAGUACUGGCGGACGGGGGUUCAAAUCCCCCCGGCUCCACCA
rnacentral:tmRNA from 1 species